AAGGCGAUCGUUAGCUGAUUUUGGUAGUACGACCAAAAUUACCGAUCCGCACCGUUUCAGAGACGCAACGUGCACCUGCUUUAUCGUUAAUUUUGCUCGUAAACCUACGACCGGUAAGAGGCACUCGUUAACUUAACGAUCAAGAUGGCGGAUGAAGAUUUUCGCCAUAUCAAAGUAUAUUUUUACUUUUUAUUAACAUUUGAGAGUUUAAUAUUGCGUGUAGCAUGUUCGCUGGUGUGGAAUAUUCAAACUAUGUCUAAAAAUAGCUGAAAACAGUACGAAAAUGUUCUAUUUCCGCCGUUCUGUCAAAAAAGGAUUUUAACUGUAGAAGAUGUAAGCUUUUUGUUAUACUUAGCUAAUGUGCUGAUAUUGUGUACAUCUAAAACAUGGAAUAUGAUGUUGAAUUUGAUUUGGUUUUAUUGCUGUUUAAUAUGUCCUUUAAAACAUUUUCUUGAACUUCUUCUAUUUCGGAUGGUUUUUAAUUCGGAUAAAUAAAUGCCUGUACAUAUUUUGUUGUAAUAUAACCAGUCUCUGUGGCAUGUAGUCAGUGAAUUAUUAAACAGUGUUACCAUUUUAUCAUGUCAUGAUAUAACAUAAUUAUUUUUACACAUGUAUCUUAAACUGAUGCUAAAUAUGUAAAUGUAGAUACAGUACAGUAAUGUAAACAACACUGUCACAACAAAUAAGUUGAUUAUUGGCUACUUUAAUACCAUGGACACUAUCAGGUGACAAUGUAAUCAUUUUAGUUCACCUUGACUUGUAAUUAAAACUUGUUUUAGUAAGGUAUCAUAUGGUUUAUGUAGAACUUUGUAGUAUACCAUUAUGAACAUAUGUGAGUUUUCAAAUUCUUGUCUUUUUCAGUCAUGCCAUUUGAUGCCAAGUGUACAAUAUAAACUGAAAUGAAAAAUGACAACAGAAGUGUCAUGGUCUUGGUGGAAAAUGCUGUGCUCUUCAUUGACCUCUGUUUAAUAAUGGCUGGUGAUAGAGAACUAUCAGGAAUGCUUCAAGCUGGCAAUGGAGGGAAAUGUAAAAGUAGGACACUGAAAAAUCACAAGGUUUCAAACAUUUAGAAUAUGCUCACAGUCAGUCUUCAAGAUACUCACCUUAAAGGUUCCGGUGUGUUUUAGGAGACUUUGUCAGAACAGUACAUUAUACCUACAUACACUGGAGAUACCAGACACAGCAGAUAACUACAGAUAUAUUGACACAGAAUCUGAAAUUAAUUGCAUAUCCCAACACAACAUAAAACUUUAAACUGUUAAAUAGGCAGUGAGGCAUUUGUGUGUAACCUUCAUUAUUUGAAAUGAAAUUUCUUAUUUAUUUUUUAAGUUUGACUUGGCAUUUAAAAGCCAUUUUCAUUAGAUUUUCCAAAUAUAUAUAUAUUUUUAUACAGUUUCAACUGUGAUGUAUAUCCAGUUGUACAUGUUUCCUCUAAGGAUUAAAACACUUCUGAAUUAUAUAGGAAAAUCUAAAUGAUUCAUUUAUUCAAACUUAUGAUAAUAUAUAAAACGCACACUACCAUGGUUGAUCAUGUAAACAUUCAUACUAUCUUUUUAUAGAAAUUAAGUGCAUCUUUUGAUAUUUCUGAAUACAUUUAUUUUUACUUUGACUUGCUCGUGUAUAAACACAGAAUGCUACAUAAAGUGUAUACUCCAGUGUAUAUCAUAACAUGAUUGAAAUAGAUAAUAGAUAAUAUUUGCGCGAAACUCUGAACACUUAACCACUAUGGCAAUCUGCACCAGUGAAGAUACUUUUUGUUGAAUAAUGUGUUUUUAUGAGACGAGCUUGUAAAAUAGCUGUAUUUCUUUUAGUAAUUUUGUGUAUUUGAAGCAUGUCUGCAAAUGUAGAUUUUAUCAUGUAUUUUGAAUGGAUUUGAAAUGCUGUUUAUUAAACUGUUAACUGACACAAUAAAGAUGGAUUUAUGAAUUGUCUUCAUACAAAAAAUCCAACCGGUCAAAGUUGUAUUUUCAAACUAUUUCCCAAUACAAUAACCCUCAGUCACAGUUUUGGUGCA